ACUCGCUUCGGCGGUGGAUAUACUAAAAUUGGAACAAUACAGAGAAGAUCAACAUGGCCCCUGCGCAAGUAUGGCAAUCAAAAUCGUGAAGCGUUCCACAUUAUU